ACGUCAUGGCUCUCUCUCAUAGGCGCUGAUACCGUGGGUGCUCCGGAGCUCGAGCACCCACGGGAAAUACUGAGCACCCACGUGUGCCAGACUGCCAGUAGGCUGCAUUCAUUUAAAAUUAAACAUUGCAUUUGGUGCUAAGUGGAGCGUCCGUCAU